rnacentral:lncRNA from 1 species
GGCCGUGACCUCCAUGGGAUCAUGGCCGCCAUCUCUGUGGUAUCAUGGCCGCCAUCUCUAUGGUAUCAUGGCCGCCAUCUCUAUGGUAUCAUGGCCGCCAUCUCUAUGGGAUCAUGGCCGCCAUCUCUAUGGGAUCAUGGCCGCCAUCUCUAUGGGAUCAUGGCCGCCAUCUCUAUGGUAUCAGGGCCACCACCUCCAUGGGUCAUGGCCACCAUCUCUAUGGGAUCAUGGCCGCCAUCUCUAUGGCAUCAUGGCCGCCAUCUCUAUGAUAUCAUGGCCGCCAUCUCUAUGGCAUCAUGGCCACCAUCUCUAUGGCAUCAUGGCCACCAUCUCUAUGGUAUCCUGGCCACACUCUCUAUGGUAUCAUGGCCUCAAUCUCUAUGGUGUCAUGGCCACCACCUCCAUGGGAUCAUUGCCACCAUCUCUAUGGUGUUAUGGCCGCUAUCUCUAUGGUGUCAUGGCCACCAUCUCUAUGGUAUCAGGGCCACCACCUCCAUGGGUCAUGGCUGCCAUCUCUAUGGCAUCAUUGCCACCAUCUCUAUGGCAUCAUGGCCGCCAUCUCUAUGGCAUCAUGGCCACCAUCUCUAUGCCAUCAUGGCCACCAUCUCUAUGGUGUCAUGGCCGCCAUCUCUAUAAUAUCAUGGCCGCCAUCUCUAUGGCAUCAUGGCUGCCACCUCCACGGGAUCAUGGCCGCCAUCUCAAUGGUAUCAUGGCCGCCAUCUCUAUGGUGUCAUGGCCGCCAUCUCUAUGGUGUCAUGGCCGCCACCCCCUCCACCAAUGUCGCCCCCCGCAGGUGGACGUGAGCGCGGCGGUGGCCUACACCAUGGCGGCCAAGGAGGAGGUGGAGCUGCAGCUGAUGCGCAAAGCGGCCGCCGUCACCUCCGAGGUCUUCAGCAAGUUCUUCAA